GGGGAUUUAGCUCAGUGGUAGAGUGCUUGCCUAGCAAGCACAAAGCCCUGGGUUCGGUCCCCAGCUCCA
rnacentral:tRNA from 1 species